rnacentral:rRNA from 1 species
UGACGAAGGGGGCUAGCGUUGUUCGGAAGUUACUGGGCGUAAAGGGUGCGUAGGCGGUCCGCUAAAGUUGGAUGUGAAAACUCUGGGCUUAACCCAGAGCCUGCAGUUCAAAACUGACGGGCUAGAGUUCUGGAGGGGGUAGCGGAAUUCCUGGUGUAGCGGUGAAAUGCGUAGAUAUCAGGAGGAACACCGUGCGGUGUAGACGGCUUACUGGACGGUAACUGACGCUGAGGCACGAAAGCGUGGGUAGCAAACAGG